AGAGUUUGAUCAUGGCUCAGAACGAACGCUGGCGGCGUGGAUAAGACAUGCAAGUCGAACGAUUGCCAUCAGGUAGCAAUAUUUGGUGGUGAGAGUGGCGCAAGGGUGCGUAACACGUGGGUAAUUUGCCGUGAAGUCUGGAAUAACUUGCUGAAAGGCGAGCUAAUACCGGAUGUGAUUGCUGGAGGGCAUCCUCUGGCAUUUAAAGUCGGGGACCGCAAGGCCUGACACUUCUCGAUAAGCCCGCGGCCUAUCAGCUAGUUGGUGAGGUAACGGCUCACCAAGGCUAAGACGGGUAGCUGGUCUGAGAGGACGACCAGCCACACUGGAACUGAGACACGGUCCAGACACCUACGGGUGGCAGCAGUCGAGAAUUUUUCUCAAUGGGCGAAAGCCUGAAGGAGCGACGCCGCGUGGGGGAUGAAUGGCUUCGGCCCGUAAACCCCUGUCAUUUGCGAUCAAACCUUACGACCUAACACGUCGUGAGCUGAUAGUAGCGGAAGAGGAAGGGACGGCUAACUCUGUGCCAGCAGCCGCGGUAAUACAGAGGUCCCAAGCGUUGUUCGGAUUCACUGGGCGUAAAGGGUGCGUAGGCGGUCGGGUAAGUCUGACGUGAAAUCUUCAAGCUCAACUUGGAAACUGCGUCGGAUACUAUUCGGCUGGAGGAAUGGAGGGGAGACUGGAAUACUUGGUGUAGCAGUGAAAUGCGUAGAUAUCAAGUGGAACACCAGUGGCGAAGGC
rnacentral:rRNA from 1 species